AGUGGCCAAAACUGGCUUCCAUGAUUAGCGGCCCUCCACCAUGUAUGCGAGAAGAAACUGGAAGUUCAGACAUGAUGGAGGAAGAAGUACGCAUUCAACAAGCAGAGCUAGUGUUCGCAGAGACCGUGGACUCAGAUAUAAUGAUGCAGGGCUCGAACAGGGAUCUGUUAUAUCUAUUCCGGAAUCUAGAACGUAAAAUGAAACGUGAGGUACGUCUAUUGUGGGAUAUUUGUUCCUUGGAAAAUUAUUUUAAGACUAAUCGGAUACCGAGAGGGUUAAGGAUAAGAAAGUUUCCCUCUUAUUCAAACGUGCCAUGCGACUUUAUGUUGGCUUGGAAUGCUAUUCUAUCUGAUUGUUCGGGUUGGCUAAUGGAGCUGAUUUUGACUUACGAUAGACAAGAACUAGACCGGGUUCAAAAGGAUGUUACUGACUUACAAACAAACUUGCGGUCUGAUAUUUUUGUGGAUACUUUUGAUAAGACACGGUUGGAUAAGUUAAUGGAACAAAUAAAAUGAUAUGAAUAUGCUAUUAAGAAUACUAAAGGUGAAAAGUUCCUACAAGAUAAACGAGACUAUGAGAAUGAUACGGUAUAUAUGUGGAAUGCCACUAAUUAUAAUUUUUCUCCAACACAGCACCAUUACGGGAAGAGGUUACAUGAUAAAAAGCAAUACAAGAAGGCUCCACGCCCCAUACUGAAAUCGGGUAAAUCCGUACAAUUUGCGAAGUAUGGGGAUGUGUCACAUGGGUCUCAGGAUUUGCACUCUUUCCUCCCCUCUUCCUCUUCUUUAUUGGUGUCGGAUCCAGAAGUUUCAGAGAGCGACCGGAACGAUGUUCGGGUACGGCUGAAAGGAAUGAGGAAUAGGAGAUUUAUAUCGACUCCAAGACGAGAUCCCAUCAGGACACAAAGCUCCCGAAACGUCAGAGGAGAGGAGGAAGGCGAUCUAGGUCCGGGUAUAUACACCAGACGUCCGACGAGAGGCAGAGUCACACAGAAGUAGUAAAAAGAGGAAAAGAGGUCAUCUGAAAUUAUAUCACCAUCAUUCGACCCAGAAUUAUCACUGUGUGGACUGUCAUUAUCUAUGUGACUAGUAACAUCAUUGCCCUCCUUCAUAAAAUGUAUUUUUAAGACUCACCCCACCCAAUCUGCCUUCCUCUCCAGUGUGGACCUUCACACUCUUACCAGAUGAUGCUUCCAGAGUCCAUUGCCAUUGUCUGCUCCCUCAAAUUCCAAGAACUGUGCACGUCCCAAAGUAUAAAGACAUGCGUGCGUCCAAGAACUGUGCGCGUCCCACAGUAUAAAGACGUGCGUGCGUGCGUGCGCGCGCAACAAAUGCCAGUGAGUUAAAUCUCACUGAAGUUACAUCUUCAAAUCCAUAUACUCGAGUAUAAGCCGAGGGUUACUUUUUCAGCACAUUUUUGGUGCUGAAAAACUCGUCUUAUACUCGAGUAUAUACGGUAUUCUUUUAUCCACUGAAUUUUUAUUGAAAUCAAAUUAUUUUUUAUUCAAUGGGCAUUUUUAUCUCCAAAGACGUGGAGCCGCGAUGCUAAUCUCUAUAUGGGAUGGUUUGAACGGCUCCACGUCUUUGGAGUGUCUAAUCUGUAAGAGGUCUGUAAGAGGGGUAUCCCUGUUGGAUAAUUCCUUCGGUUACGUCGGAUUUGCUCAACAUGGGAUACCUUCCAUCAUCAAGCUAGGCAAUUAUGAGAUCCUUUUCUGGAAAGGGCUUAUAGUACUGAUGUUAUUAAAACAGCCUAUGAAUGGGUGGUGGCAAGUAAUCGGGAUGAUUUAUUGAAGGAUGAUAUGAGCCAUAGAUCAGAGAAGCAGGUAGAGGGACUGGAAGAUCUAAAUUAUGGUUUUGUAUGACAUACAAUAGAGAUUCCUAUCUCAUUAGAUGGAGUGUUAUGAAACAUUGGGGGAUCCUUUCAAAGGACCCCAUUUUGGCCGGUAUUUUAAAUAAGGAACCCUCCUUUGUUUAUAAAAAGAAUAGGGACAUAGCAUCUCAACUUUUCCGUAGUCUAUAUGUCUCUAAACAAGUAAAUAGUAAUUCAUCCUGGCUUAGAUAUAAGGGGAAUUAUCGCUGUGGCAGGACAAGAUGUAAAGCAUGUCAGUAUUUAAAAGUAUCAAAGGAAUUUAAUAGUUCUUAUACAGGAAAAACGUAUGCUAUUAAACAGUAUUUUAAUUGUACUUCCCAGAGAGUGAUAUAUUUGAUCACAUGUGAAUGUGGAGCACAAUAUGUAGGGAAAACGGUCCGUAAUGUUUGUGAGCGUAUUUUAGAAUAUCUAUCAGCUAUGACGAGAAGGGAUACUAAGUCUACUAUUGCAAAACAUUCACUUGAGAAACAUGAGGGAAAUAUUAAUUUUUGUUUUCAGAUUAUAGAUUCUUGUGGUUUUAAGAAAGGUGAUUUUGAGAACAGGCUUUUGCGUAAGUGAAGCGUUUUGGAUUUACCGGUUGGGUACUAUAGAUACGUUAGGAGGGAUGAAUAGAGAGUGGGAACUAACAUGCUUCUAUUGAUGGAAGUAAUCUGACACAUAUGUAACCUUUAUUAUGUUAAAAGCUGAUAGAUACGCUUUUAUAACUGGUCAUAAUCCCUUUAACUAUUAAUUUUAUUGUCAAAUUUUGGUUUGGAUACUGUUUUUUAUUUUUAUUUGAUAUAUGUAUGUUUACGGGGUUAAUAAAUAAUGUGCAUAUUGUUAUUGGGCGUGUAUAAAAGGAAUGUCCUAAAAUGGUGUACCAUGCAGCUUUUGAGAAAGUGGUGGGAUACCAAGAAACGCGUAAAGCGUAUGGUCCUGAUUUUUUGCAUAUGCACAGUAUGUUUUUAA